AUAUAUAAAAUAUAUUAAUUCAUCAUAGAUGAAGUGCUAUAAAUACAAUGUUAGUGUGUUAGGAAGAGAUACAAGCUUGUGAGAUAUAAUUAUAUAUAUGAUGAAAAUGGAGAAGAGUACUAAGAAUAGUGUGGUGAUGAUGAUGAGCUAUAUUAUAGUUGUUGUUCUUGUGUUUCUUCCAUCUACUAGUUUUGCAGGUGGCGGGAGAGCUCUGAAUAAUCUUCAACUUUACUCCUCAGAUCAUCCUGGACAGGCACAGGUCACUCUCACUGUCGAACCUUCUCUUUCAGAUAUAUUAUUGAUAGAAAGUUCAGGAAAGAAUGCUCAAUGCUUUGGUAAAUUUUGCGCGCCUUGGUCACCUUGCCAAUCUGGGUGUGUGUGUGUUGGAGUCGUUGGUACCGGAGCUUGUGCUGGACUCUAAUAUGUAUUCUAUGUAAUGUCGAUUGACGCCUACAUAUAUAUGAAAUAAUGUCAAUCAUAUAUAUAUAAUGCUAUUAGUAAUGAAUAAUGAUGUUACACAUGAUAUGACAUGAGCAGGCAUAUUUACGUACGGUGUAAAUAUGCAUGCAUGUUAUUAGUGUAACUUAAUUUAUGUAUGCCUUUAAUUCCUUGAUAAAAUGGAAUACUAUUAUUAAUUA